rnacentral:lncRNA from 1 species
AGGAACCAGAGGAGGGCACGGAGGGAGGGCCCAGGCUGCGGCUCUGGUCUCCAGGAUCUGUCGCACUGGGGACAUCCCUGUCCCUGCCGAAGCAACUGGCUCUGUCACCUGUGAGACUCAGAUGCUCCUUUCUCCCCAGAACUCGUCGGCGCCUCUGGCUGAGGACAUCGACCCUGAGGUAAGGCCCGGCAUGGGGUGCAUCCUCUCACGGUUUCUGGCCUUGGGAGUGACCCCCUCAUUGCCUGCAGCUCGCACGGUAUCUCAACCGGAACUACUGGGAGAAGAAGCAGGAGGAGGCUCGCAAGAGCCCCACACCAUCUGCGCCCGUGCCCCUGACGGAGCCGGCUGCACAGCCUGGGGAGGGGCACGCAGCCCCCACCAAUGUGGUGGAGAACCCCCUCCCGGAGACAGACUCUCAGCCCAUUCCUCCCUCUGGUGGCC